rfam:Schistosoma haematobium scaffold1515_17, whole genome shotgun sequence.
GCACUGCUGAGGAGUCCUAUAAUAGGACGAAACGGCCGUCCAGUAC